rnacentral:rRNA from 1 species
CUACGUGCCAGCAGCCGCGGUAAUACGUAGGUGGCGAGCGUUAUCCGGAAUUAUUGGGCGUAAAGGGUGCGUAGGCGGCCUGUUAAGUAAGUGGUUAAAUUGUUGGGCUCAACCCAAUCCAGCCACUUAAACUGGCAGGCAAGAGUAUUGGAGAGGCAAGUGGAAUUCCAUGUGUAGCGGUAAAAUGCGUAGAUAUAUGGAGGAACACCAGUGGCGAAGGCGGCUUGCUAGCCAAAGACUGACGCUCAUGCACGAAAGCGUGGGGAGCAAAUAGGAUUAGAUACCCUAGUAGUCCACGCCGUAAACGAUGAAUACUAAGUAUUGGGGAAACUCAGUGCUGCAGCUAACGCAAUAAGUAUUCCGCCUGUGGAGUAUGCACGCAAGUGUGAAACAUAAAGGAAUUGACGGGGGCCCGCACAAGCGGUGGAGUAUGUGGUUUAAUUCGACGCAACGCGAAGAACCUUACCAGGCCUUGACAUCCCUUGCAAAGCUGUAGAGAUA